GACAGAGGUGCCGAGCGUUAGGCGGAAUCACUGGGCUUAAAGCGCGUGUAGGCGGGUCGUUAAGUGUCUUGUGAAAUCCCACGGCUCACCCGUGGAACUGCUGGGCAUACUGGCGAUCUUGGGCCAACUAGGGGCAGCCGGAACAAGCGGUGGAGCGGUGAAAUGCGUAGAUAUCGCUUGGAACGCCGAAGGUGAAAACAGGCUGCUGGGGUUGCGCCGACGCUGAGACACGAAAGCCAGGGGAGCAAACGGG
rnacentral:rRNA from 1 species